UAGUCUCAGUUCAGAUUGUAGGCUGCAACUCGCCUACAUGAAGUCGGAAUUGCUAGUAAUCGCGGAUCAGCAUGCCGCGGUGAAUACGUUCCCGGGCCUUGUACACACCGCCCGUCACACCAUGAGAGCCGGUAACACCCGAAGUCAGUAGCCUAACCGCAAGGGGGGCGCUGCCGAAGGUGGGAUUGGUAAUUGGGGUGAAGUCGUAACAAGGUAUC
rnacentral:rRNA from 1 species